rnacentral:lncRNA from 1 species
CGUGAACCCUGGGGGGCGGAGCCUGCAGUGAGCUCCAGCCUGGGCGACAGCGAGACUCCGUCUCAAAAAAAAAAAAAAAAAAAAAAAAAAAAAAAAAAAAAAAAAAAAAAAAACAGAGAAGACAAUACAGUUUAUUUGGGAUCUUAUUAUUGCAGAAACAGAUUAUCCGUUGUUGAAUAAAUCAUUGAUAGCAAGUGACUGAAAAAAUAGAGUUGAGGACAAAGAUGCUCUAAAAUGCUACACAAUUCUCAGCUCCUAUAGACACCUAUAGCUUUGGUAACUGCCAGGAGAAUAAAGAUCAGGAAGAGCCAUAGUAAUCCUUCAGGCUGAAAAUCAAGAUGGAGGCCCCCCAUAAGCGGGUCCUAAGAGUCCCACUGCCUGUUACUGCCAAGAAUGAAGUCACUCAGUAGCAGACUCGCAGCUCCUUAUGCUUUGUGCAGCCAAGGCUGCUCCUUAGCAACCAAUGUCGACAACUGGGUUUCCAAGGAAACCAGAAAGCCCAAUUUAUAAAACUAUGAAACAAAGCAACUGUAAAGGCAACACUAGACACAGAAGGGAUAACUGACUGACCAGCUGACUUUAAAGUCCAAGUUCUUUCCAUCAUCCCAACAUGCUCCUGCCAGACAGAAAAGGCUCACAGGCCGGGUCAGGGCUCCAGCUGUCAUAGAAGCAAGAGAACUCACCACCAGAAGGCAAUCACAAAGCCAGUAGACUUGUAAACGUCCCCCAAAUGCUCUCAGCACACUAUGGAAGGGCUUUAGAAAACCUAUCUUCAGUACAGCAGUGGAACACUAAGAGAACUUAGAAUUCAUUUUACAGCGAGCUAGAAUGCAAUUUACAGAAAACUAACUUUUGCUAAAAUGAAUCUAAGCCUUAAAAUAUACAUCACUGCAGGUACCCAUAAUUGAUCACAUCCUCAGAGGAGCUCAAAGUGAAAAAAAAAAGGACUUAAAUCUUCCCAAUUUGGAGGCACUAACAUCUACAUAAGGACAGGUAUAGCUCAUGAGUCCUAAAUAUUGACCAAGGAUAUGUGACCUAAAAUAGUACAUUCUAUUCUGAACACUUUAAUUCUGUAAGUGAAGUGUCAUUACGAUUCUUAAACUUCUUUUUCUUUGAAAUCAUCUAUUUCCAUCAAUUCAUAGCUC